CUACGUCAACAGGGUUCAAGGUCGGCCAAUGAGACGAUGGGGGAUAAGCUUUAUCGUCGAGAGGAAAAUAUAUAGACCGGAGCACCAGCUAAGGCCUCUGAAUGACCGUUCAAUGAUAAAAGGAGGUUGGGGGUGCAAAGACAGCCAGUAGGUUUGAGCAACCACUAUUUAAAGAGUGUGUAAUAGCUCACUGAUUGAGCGUCUUUGUGUUGAAGAUGAAUGGGACUAAGUGAUCUACCAAAGCUAUGGGAUGUCAAAAUACAUCGGUAGUAG
rnacentral:ncRNA from 1 species